rnacentral:rRNA from 1 species
UACGGAGGGGGCUAGCGUUGUUCGGAAUUACUGGGCGUAAAGCGCGUGUAGGCGGCUCGGCAAGUCGGGUGUGAAAGCCCUGGGCUUAACCUAGGAAGUGCACUCGAAACUGCCAAGCUUGAGUUCUGGAGAGGAAGGCGGAAUUCUCGGUGUAGAGGUGAAAUUCGUAGAUAUCGAGAGGAACACCGGUGGCGAAGGCGGCCUUCUGGACAGCAACUGACGCUGAGACGCGAAAGCGUGGGGAGCAAACAGG